GACGAACGCUGGCGGCGUGCCUAACACAUGCAAGUCGAACGGUCCGGCACUCAACCGACCCUCAGUCUAACUGUAGGGGAAGUUGAGUGCCGGGUAGUGGCGGACGGGUGAGUAACGCGUGGGCAACCAACCCUGUACAGUGGGAUAACACCGGGAAACCGGUGCUAAUACCGCAUGACACCUAUAUGGUGCAUACCGUAUAGGUUAAAGGAUUUAACCGGUACAGGACGGGCCCGCGUCCCAUUAGCUAGUUGGUGAGGUAACGGCCCACCAAGGCGACGAUGGGUAGCCGACCUGAGAGGGUGACCGGCCACACUGGGACUGAGACACGGCCCAGACUCCUACGGGAGGCAGCAGUGGGGAAUAUUGCGCAAUGGGGGGAACCCUGACGCAGCGACGCCGCGUGAGCGACGAAGGCCUUCGGGUCGUAAAGCUCUGUUCUUGGGGACGAAGGAAAUGACGGUACCCAAGGAGAAAGCCCGGCUAACUACGUG
rnacentral:rRNA from 1 species